rnacentral:rRNA from 1 species
ACGUACCGCCAGACUGUACUGAUUGCAUCCAAUCUUGGAAGCUAAGUAGGUCCAGAUCCGGUUAGUAUCUGGAUGGGAGACUGCCUGGGAAUCCCGAGUGCCAUAAGCU